rnacentral:rRNA from 1 species
AUUGAACGCUGGCGGCAGGCCUAACACAUGCAAGUCGAGCGAGCGGCGGACGGGUGAGUAAUGUAUGGGGACUGCCCGAUAGAGGGGGAUAACUACUGGAAAAGGUGGCUAAUACCGCAUACUAUCGGAUAACCCAUAUGGGAUUAGAGAGUAGGUGGGGUAAAGGCUCACCUAGGCGACGAGCUCUAGCUGGUCUGCGAGUAUUAUCAGCCACACUGGGACUUAGCAACGCCCCAGACUCCUACGGAGGCAGCAGUGGGGAAUAUUGCACAAUGGGCGCAAGCCUGAUGCAGCCAUGCCGCGUGUAUGAAGAAGGCCUUAGGGUUGUAGAGUACUUUCAGCGGGGAGGCGUUACCCGCAGAAGAAGCACCUGCUAACUCCGUGCCAGCAGCCGCAGUAAUUC